UACGUAGGUGGCAAGCGUUGUCCGGAAUUACUGGGUGUAAAGCGCGUGUAGGCGGCAGACCAAGUCGGCGGUGAAAGCGCCCGGCUCAACUGGGCGAGGUCCGUGGAAACUGGUCAGCUGGAGGACGGUAGAGGCGAGUGGAAUUCCCGGUGUAGUGGUGAAAUGCGUAGAGAUCGGGAGGAACACCUGUGGCGAAGGCGACUACCUGGCCUGUUCUUGACGCUGAGGCGCGAAAGCUGGGGGAGCAAACGGG
rnacentral:rRNA from 1 species